CACACGCACACUCUCUUCUUUAUUUCUUUCUUUCUUUUUCUUCUCCUCUCUUCCCCUUGGUUCCUCGCACAGCAACUCCUCCUUCCCAUUUUCUUUUCUUUUUCUUCUCUUCCUUCUCCCCUACCGCACACAGCAGUCCCUCCCCUGUUCCAGCAUGCGAUUCCUUCUCCCUUUUUCCUUCUCUUCCAUUUUCUUCCUCUCUUCGUCUCUACCACGCCCACACACGCACAGUGAGCCCAUGUGAGAGACGAACCCGUGAGAGAGAGAGAGACCUGGAACUCAUUUCCGGUGGGUGUCGCCGGUGGUCAGUGGCGCGAUUUCCGGCCAUGCUUCGAUGAUGUUUCUUUGGCUGCAGGUACUUCGGUAUAGUCUAUGGGUCGGAAGCAGUAUGCUUGGGAUAUUAUGACUGAAGCUCGCCGCGACAGUUGUAAUUGUCGGACCACGGGUUGUCCACUAUUUUAUAGGUUUGGUAUGGCUUGUGACGUUUGUGUCACUUAUUCUUUGUUAAGCCAUUAUUGUUAUAGUGUUAAUAAGACUCAAACAGAUAGAUGUUAAAUGGCUCUUUGUUGUAAUUAACUUGUGAUAGAUGUAUAAGUUGUAAUUUCCGCUAUUCAGAUUUAUGUUUUCCGCUGCA